rnacentral:sRNA from 1 species
GCAGGGUGUGGUGGCACACAUCUAUAAUCCCAGUGACUUGGGAGGCUGAGGCAGGAGGAUCGCAAAUUUGAGGCCAGCCUCUGCUAUAUAGUGAGACCCUGACUCAA